GGGAGGGGUGCGAGCGUUAAUCGGAAUUACUGGGCGUAAAGCGCGCGUAGGCGGCAAGGUCAGUCGGGAUGUGAAAGACCCCGGGCUCAACCUGGGAAUUGCAUUCGAAACUGCCCUCGCUAGAGUAUGGGAGAGGGAAGCGGAGUUUCCGGUGUAGCGGUGAAAUGCGUAGAUAUCGGAAGGAACACCAGUGGCGAAGGCGACUUCCUGGCCCAAUACUGACGCUCAGGUGCGAAAGCGUGGGUAGCGAACAGGAUUAGAUACCCUGGUAGUCCACGCCGUAAACGAUGAGAACUAGAUGUCGGGAGGAUUUACCUUUCGGUGUCGCAGCUAACGCAUUAAGUUCUCCGCCUGGGGAGUACGCCGGCAACGGUA
rnacentral:rRNA from 1 species